rnacentral:lncRNA from 1 species
CCAUUCAACCCGGAGUACCUCGACGAGUCCGUGAUGUGGACGGAGAGCGGCGACGUCGGCAAGGGCUUCCGCUGCAUUCGCAUGGUGAACAACAUCCGCCUCAACUUCGACGCCCUCAACGGUGACAAGGACCACGGCGGCGUGCACGACGGCACCACCGUCGUUCUCUGGGAGUGGGCCAAGGGCGACAACCAGAGCUGGAAGAUCCUCCCCUGGGGCGAAGAGGCCUACGCCGGAGGCAGCGCCAACGCCCCCCGCGGCGGCUCCUCAGAGCCCACCGUGCGCAUCUUCUGCAAGGCCGACGACGGCUUCAGCGCCACCGUCCGCAACGGCACUGUGGUCCUCGCGCCCACCAACCCCCGCGACGAGUACCAGCACUGGUUCAAGGACAUGAGGCACAGCAACCGCAUCAAGGAUGAGGAAGGCUACCCGGCCUUCGCCCUCGUCAACAAGGUGACAGGCGAGGCCAUCAAGCACUCCCAAGGCGAGGGCCACCCUGUAAGCAACCAUCCAAGCCACUCAGAUCUUUUUCGAUUCAUUCGUCACUUGCAUGUAAAUUGUGGUGCCAUUGCGGUAAGAUCUGAGAGCUUGAGACUAAAUGAUUAACAAGAACUGUUUGGUUCGCUGUUGCUGUUGGAUCCAACAGGUGAAGCUGGUGCCAUACAACGCCAACUACCAGGACGAGUCAGUGUUGUGGACUGAGAGCCGCGACGUGGGCGCCGGCUUCCGGUGCAUCCGCAUGGUGAACAACAUCUACCUCAACUUUGACGCUCUCCACGGCGACAAGGAGCACGGCGGCGUUCGCGACGGCACCUCCCUCGUGCUGUGGAAGUGGUGCGAGGGCGACAACCAGCGCUGGAAG